GCUCCCGUAGCUCAGCCUGGAUAGAGCGACGGACUUCUAAUCCGUAGGUCGCAGGUUCAAAUCCUGUCGGGAGCG
rnacentral:tRNA from 1 species